ensembl:lncRNA
ACCCUCACUUGUUCUUUCACAAGAACUUACUUGCCUCUAACAUAAGGAAAUGACUUAAAGCUCUGGAAUCUGUUUUGCAAGAAUGUCAAUGGUAUUCGAAAUCAAGAGUGCCUACUUGGAUUCCAAGGACCAUGUUAAUGAUUUCACUCACAUCUUCCCUUAGUAAUUUGCACAAGGGUGCUGCAAAGUGUUAUCCCCGGUGUACACAUGAGGUAGUGGUUCAAGACCAGAGAUUUGUACCAGGGACCUUAGUAGGUGACAGGGCCUGGAUUGAAAACCCAGUGCUUUGCUGCUUCCACUACCUGUUUGCCAAAUGAGAAUCUCCUGAGUCACUCAUGACGCCAGCUCCAGGCCCCUCCCCAUAGAGAUUCCAGUCAGUGGACCAAGGUGGAGCUCAAGAUAAGUGUCUGGGCUGCUGCUUAGCAUGAGGCAGGUUUACACCUCAGGACACCAUGCUGCUGCUUUACCACCCUAACCUAGAGGCAUUUAUCAGCUCAGCCACCUGCGCCUUCCUGAGCCCACCUGGGACCAGAAUUCCUAGCCCAGCCCCGGCUGCUCCCUCAGGCACUCUCUCCUCCACUCGCCUGUUUCUCUACAAUGUCUGACCUUUAAUCCUGUCCACCUGGGCUUUGCCCUCUGCCUGCUGACUUGGGCCACCUGCCAUCCUGGUUGCCACAAAAAUCCUGUCCUCCUGUCUGUGAACCGGUUUGACAGCUGAGGUAAGGCUGGGAGUGGGGAGGAUCGCGGCGCUUCUACUGCCAGGCCAUGCCUCCAUCUAUAGCAUCAGCUCUGGGAAGCACUUAAUCACAAGGCAUGGCUUCUUCCUCCGGCAUGGACGAGAAGCCACUGAAGCCGUGAGCAUCUACCUCUCCCGGCUUGUGAGUCUGACCCGCCACACCUGCCUGUGGAGACUGCAGCUGAAUAUUUGGGGAGAGACACCUCCUUCCCCUGCUCCUCCUGCCCACCUGGACUCAGACCCACAGCUCUCCCAGGAAGGGGCUUCUGUAUUCUCCAAAGACGUCCCCAUCUCCCUUCUUAUAGUGGCCACCCCCAACCCCCAGCCCACCUAACCCAAAUCAAAACCUCUCAAGGCAUUUGGGCCUCAGGGCAGACGGUGUCCUUGGGGUGGCAGACUGGUGGCCACAGCACACAGGCCCCUUCUUCCCUAGUGUGUUUUCCUCUCCCAAGUCUUGAGUGCUGACCCUGCCACUGGCUGGCACUUCAGACCUGCAUUCAUGUGAAAUGCUGUGCUCAAGACUUCAGCUCGUGGCCAUGUGCAGAGACGCCUCCACCCACACGUACACCAUGAUUCAAGAUGGCACCAGUAAGCCACAUGCAGAGACGUGCACCCAGGCACUGCGAGAGCUCCAGUGGGUUCUGGGAGAGCACAGCUGCACCAGACUUGUCAGAGCUCUCUCCCCUCUCUGCUGACAAGAUCCUUAUAAAACAGCCCUGCUGCUGCUAAGUCGCUUCAGUUGUGUCCGACUCUGCAACCCCAUAGACGGCAGCCCACCAGGCUCCCCUGUCCCUGGGAUUCUCCAGGCAAGAAUACUGGAGUGGGUUGCCAUUGCCUUCUCCAAUGCAUGAAAGUGAAAAGUGAAAGUGAAGUCGCUCAGUCGUGUCCAACUCCUAGCGACCCCAUGGACUGCAGCCUACCAGGCUCCUCCAUCCAUGGGAUUUUCCAGGCAAGAGUACUGGAGUGGGGUGCCAUCGCCUUCUCCGUAUAAAACAGCCCUACUGAAGGCCUUUCAGGAAGAUCUUGUACCCAGGAGUACUAGCGAACAACUCUCCAUUCUUUGUUCAAAGACUAAAGCUUGAAA